CCUACGGGAGGCAGCAGUGAGGAAUAUUGGUCAAUGGACGAGAGUCUGAACCAGCCAAGUAGCGUGAAGGAUGACUGCCCUAUGGGUUGUAAACUUCUUUUAUAUGGGAAUAAAAUGUUCCACGUGUGGGCUUUUGUAUGUACCAUAUGAAUAAGGAUCGGCUAACUCCGUGCCAGCAGCCGCGGUAAUACGGAGGAUCCGAGCGUUAUCCGGAUUUAUUGGGUUUAAAGGGUGCGUAGGCGGGCAUUUAAGCCGGCGGUCAAAUGUCGGGGCUCAACCCCGGCCUGCCGUCGGAACUGGGUGCCGUGAGUGGGCGAGAAGUAUGCGGAAUGCGUGGUGUAGCGGUGAAAUGCAUAGAUAUCGAGAGGAACACUCGUGGCGAAGGCGGGUUCCUGGACAUUAACUGACGCUGAGGCACGAAGGCCAGGGGAGCGAAAGGGAUUAGAUACCCUUGUAGUC
rnacentral:rRNA from 1 species